rnacentral:misc_RNA from 1 species
AACGCAUAUGGCACCUCCAGGCCCAGCCCGGAGGUAUGUCUGUUUGAGAAUCAUAUCCUUUUGAUUUUUGUUGAUCAACAGAAUCGACUUGGGCUCACAUCACUGUCUGCCCGAAAGUAGCCGCGCUGUCGUGGGGUUACAAAUGCUGCGACAACGCCAAAUGCUACGCGAUCUCAAAUCAGACAGGACUACCCGCCGAACUUAA